rnacentral:rRNA from 1 species
UUCAAAGAGUGCGUAACAGCUCACUGGUCGAGUGGACAUGCGCCGACAAUACACGGGGCUAAGCUGGACACCGAAGCGGCGGGAUUUUAAUUCAUUAGAAUCGGUAGGGGAGCUUCCCAUGGGCGGGGAAGCCGCCGGGCGACCGGCGGUGGAGCGCAUGGGAGUGAGAAUGCUGGCAUGAGUAGCGAGAGACGAGAGAGUAACUCGUCCGCCGUGAACCCGAGGUUUCCUGGGCAAGGCUAAUCCUCCCAGGGUCAGUCGGGGGCUAAGGCGAGGCCGGGAGGCGUAGCCGACGCGCAGCAGGCAGACAUUCCUGCACCGCGCACGCGGCGCUACGACCGACGGGGCGACGGAUGGGGGUGGCUCGGCGGGGUUCUGGACGUCCCCGUGAUGGAGCGCGGCCCGCGGACCAGGGAAAUCCGGUCCGCACGAGGGCGAGGCUCCGGACGAAGCACUUAAGCGAAGCGAGUGAGCCCGAGGUCCCUAGAAAAACCCCUAGGCAGGCGCGUGCGCGCCCGUACCGCAAACCGACACAGGUGGGUGGGUAGAACAUACCGAGGCGAUCGGGUCAACCAUGGUCAAGGAACUCGGCACAAUGGCCCCGUAACUUCGGGAGAAGGGGUGCCCGCGCGUACGUGAACGGACUUGCUCCGGGAGCGGAGGCGGGCCGCAGUGGAGAGGCCCAAGCGACUGUUUACCAAAAACACAGGACUCUGCAGAAGCCGCAAGGCGACGUAUAGGGUCUGACGCCUGCCCGGUGCCGGAAGGUCACGCGGAGGAGUUAGCGCACCGCGCGAAGCCCCGAAGCCAAGCCCCGGUAAACGGCGGCCGUAACUAUAACGGUCCUAAGGUAGCGAAAUUCCUUGUCGGGUAAGUUCCGACCUGCACGAAAGGCGCAACGACUUGGGCGCUGUCUCGACCAUGGACCCGGUGAAAUUGCACUGGUCGUGAAGAUGCGACUUACCCGCGGAAGGACGGAAAGACCCCGUGAACCUUCACUGCAGCUUGGCAUUGGCCGCUGGUCCCGCGUGUAGAGGAUAGGCAGGAGGCACAGAUCCGGAGGCGCCAGCCCCCGGGGAGCCGCCCUUGGAAUACUGCCCUCGCGCGACCGGCGUCCUAACCCGAGGCCGUCACCCGGCUCGGGGACCGUGCCAGGCGGGCAGUUUGACUGGGGCGGUCGCCUCCUAAAGGGUAACGGAGGCGCGCGAAGGUCCGCUCGGGACGGUCGGCAACCGUCCUUUUGAAUGCAAGAGUACAAGCGGGCUUGACUGCGAGGCCCACGAGCCGAGCAGGUGCGAAAGCAGGCUCUAGUGAUCCGGCGGCCCCGAGUGGGUGGGCCGUCGCUCAACGGAUAAAAGGUACUCCGGGGAUAACAGGCUGAUCUUGCCCAAGAGUCCACAUCGACGGCAAGGUUUGGCACCUCGAUGUCGGCUCAUCGCAUCCUGGGGCUGGAGCAGGUCCCAAGGGUACGGCUGUUCGCCGUUUAAAGCGGUACGCGAGCUGGGUUCAGAACGUCGUGAGACAGUUCGGUCCCUAUC